rnacentral:rRNA from 1 species
AUGAAGCGCGUAGUGGGGAGCCCGGGAACAUGGAGCGGCGUGGCGCUGCGGCUGUCGCAGUGCGCCUUCGCCGCCGCGUCCACCUUCGCGUUGGACUCCGGCUUCGGCUACUCCAACUACAGCGCCUACGCCUACAUGGAUACAGUGUUGACCCUGCAGCUUGUGUGGAGUUUGUACCUUGCUUGUAAGGAUAUCUUUGCUCUCAGGAAUAAAAAGGAUCUUCACACCCCACAUGAUCUAUUGUUCUUUGUUGUCAUUGACUGGGCCUUGGCGACUCUCAUGUUCUCAGGAGCCUGUGCCUCCGCGAGCCUGACAAUUUUCUUCAUGUGGGAUGUGAACCUCUGUGGGGCAUACUCGCGGCUGGCCUGCCGGCAGUUCGCUCUUUCAGUCACCCUGGCGUUCAUGACAUGGUUGUUGCAAGCUGCAUCAUCUUUCUCUGGGUUUUGGCUACUGGUCUCAUUCUUCUAG